UACAGGGGGGGCAAGCGUUGUUCGGAAUUACUGGGCGUAAAGGGCUCGUAGGCGGCCAACUAAGUCCGACGUGAAAUCCCCAAGCUUAACUUGGGAACUGCGUCGGAUACUGGAUGGCUUGAAUUCGGGAGAGGGAUGCAGAAUUCCAGGUGUAGCGGUGAAAUGCGUAGAUAUCAGUCGGAACACCGGUGGCGAAGGCGGCUUCUUGGGCCGUUUCUGACGCUGAGGCGCGAAAGCCAGGGGAGCGAACGGG
rnacentral:rRNA from 1 species